rnacentral:tRNA from 2 species
GGCCGGGUAGCCAAGAGGUAAGGCAUGGCUCUGCAAAAGCCAUAUACAGGGGUUCGAAUCCCCUCCCGGCCUCCA